CUUUGGGAUAACCCUCGGAAACGGGGGCUAAUACCGGAUAUGACCUUCUGUCGCAUGGUGGGGGGUGGAAAGUUUUUCGGCCUGGGAUGGGCUCGCGGCCUAUCAGCUUGUUGGUGGGGUGAUGGCCUACCAAGGCGACGACGGGUAGCCGGCCUGAGAGGGCGACCGGCCACACUGGGACUGAGACACGGCCCAGACUCCUACGGGAGGCAGCAGUGGGGAAUAUUGCACAAUGGGCGGAAGCCUGAUGCAGCGACGCCGCGUGAGGGAUGACGGCCUUCGGGUUGUAAACCUCUUUCAGCAGGGACGAAGCGCAAGUGACGGUACCUGCAGAAGAAGCGCCGGCCAACUACGUGCCAGCAGCCGCGGUAAGACGUAGGGCGCGAGCGUUGUCCGGAUUUAUUGGGCGUAAAGAGCUCGUAGGCGGCUUGUCGCGUCGACCGUGAAAACUUGGGGCUCAACCCCAAGCCUGCGGUCGAUACGGGCAGGCUAGAGUUCGGUAGGGGAGACUGGAAUUCCUGGUGUAGCGGUGAAAUGCGCAGAUAUCAGGAGGAACACCGGUGGCGAAGGCGGGUCUCUGGGCCGACACUGACGCUGAGGAGCGAAAGCGUGGGGAGCGAACAGGAUUAGAUACCCUGGUAGUCCACGCUGUAAACGUUGGGCGC
rnacentral:rRNA from 1 species